GACGAACGCUGGCGGCGUGCUUAACACAUGCAAGUCGAGCGGUAAGGCCCUUUCGGGGGUACACGAGCGGCGAACGGGUGAGUAACACGUGGGUGACCUGCCCUUAGCUCUGGGAUAAGCCUGGGAAACUGGGUCUAAUACCGGAUAUGACUCCAUGACGCAUGUUGUGGGGUGGAAAGCCUUGUGCGGCUAGGGAUGGGCCCGCGGCCUAUCAGCUUGUUGGUGGGGUGAUGGCCUACCAAGGCGACGACGGGUAGCCGGCCUGAGAGGGCGACCGGCCACACUGGGACUGAGAUACGGCCCAGACUCCUACGGGAGGCAGCAGUGGGAAUCUUGCGCAAUGGGCGAAAGCCUGACGCAGCGACGCCGCGUGAGGGAUGACGGCCU
rnacentral:rRNA from 1 species